AAAGUCGUAAACAAGGGUUUUCCGUAAGGUGAACCUGCGGAAGGAUCAUUAGUGAAUCUAGAGCGUAACUUCGGUUAGCUCAACCUUCAUUUUCCAACUCUGUGCACUAUUGGCGGACUGAAAGUAUGAAAUUACUACUAAGUCUGCGGCUCAUUAUUAAACAUUAGUUAAAAGUAUGUAUUAUAAAAAUAAAACAAAAAAU
rnacentral:misc_RNA from 1 species